rnacentral:rRNA from 1 species
AGUGAACGCUGGCGGUAGGCCUAACACAUGCAAGUCGAACGGCAGCACAGUAAGAGCUUGCUCUUACGGGUGGCGAGUGGCGGACGGGUGAGGAAUACAUCGGAAUCUACUUUUUCGUGGGGGAUAACGUAGGGAAACUUACGCUAAUACCGCAUACGACCUACGGGUGAAAGCAGGGGAUCUUCGGACCUUGCGCGAUUGAAUGAGCCGAUGUCGGAUUAGCUAGUUGGCGGGGUAAAGGCCCACCAAGGCGACGGUCCGUAGCUGGUCUGAGAGGAUGAUCAGCAACACUGGAACUGAGACACGGUCCAGACUCCUACGGGAGGCAGCAGUGGGGAAUAUUGGACAAUGGGCGCAAGCCUGAUCCAGCCAUACCGCGUGGGUGAAGAAGGCCUUCGGGUUGUAAAGCCCUUUUGUUGGGAAAGAAAAGCAGCAGGUUAAUACCCCGCUGUUCUGACGGUACCCAAAGAAUAAGCACCGGCUAACUUCGUG